GAGGGGUGCCUGAGUGGUUAAAAGGGGCGGACUGUAAAUCCGUUGGCUAUGCCUACGCUGGUUCAAAUCCAGCCUCCUCC
rnacentral:tRNA from 1 species